UACGUAGGGUGCGAGCGUUGUCCGGAAUUAUUGGGCGUAAAGGGCUCGUAGGCGGUCUGUUGCGUCGGGAGUGAAAACUCAGGGCUUAACCCUGAGCCUGCUUCCGAUACGGGCAGACUAGAGGUAUGCAGGGGAGAACGGAAUUCCUGGUGUAGCGGUGAAAUGCGCAGAUAUCAGGAGGGACACCGGUGGCGAAGGCGGUUCUCUGGGCAUUACCUGACGCUGAGGCGCGAAAGCGUGGGGAGCAAACAGG
rnacentral:rRNA from 1 species